rnacentral:lncRNA from 1 species
UGUGUGUGUGUGUGUGUGUGUGUGUGUGUGUGUGUGUGUGUGUGUGUGUGUAUGUGUGUGUGUGUGUGUGUGUGUGUGUGUGUAUGCAGGCAGAGGCAUGGAUCAAGAGCAAACUCCAGGAUCUAAAGGAUGGCUGUAACACUAAGUGCUGCCCCCUGCAGGACUGGGACGAGGCCUCUCAGACACUUCAAAGGGACCUGAAAGACUUUGAGAACACGUUUAUUCAGCUCAACCAGAUGGGCGAGCAGCUGAUCUGCAGGCUGAACCCCACAUCUGACCUUGUGAAGAAGCAGCUCAGCCAGCUCAAGGACCAAUGGCAGACCCUGAAACAGACGGCCACCAAUCAGACGCGUGCUUUAGGUGGAGCAAAGAGUCUGCGGGAUUUCAACAGAAAAGCGGAUAAGCUGGAGGCCUGGGUCAAAGAAAAGGAAGAGGAGCAGUCUCUGGUGAGUGUCCUGGGAGAAAACGUGGACAAGAUGCAGCUGACCAGGAAGAUCCUGGAUCUUAAACAGGACGAGCAGCUACACAGGAACCUGCACGAGGAGAUCAACAGCUUGGCUCUAAAACUGGAGAAACAAGGAAAGGCAGAGGGCAGAAACACCUCGAGCAGGAGGAAACACAUCAACAAGAUGUGGCUUCGGGUCCAGUCCAGGCUGAAAAACUACCACGAAACUCUUCAGCAGGCUCUUGAGGUGUCAUCGUUUUACCAGCAGGCAGAUAAUACCUUGGAGAUUAUUAAUAAAUUGCUGAAGAACAUUUCUGCAUCCAAAGAGCCGGAUGGCUUCGGGGACAGAGAUAUACGCGACGUCGCCAGUCAGAUCAUGGUAAGAAUCAUCUUUUAA